AAAUUGAAGAGUUUGAUCAUGGCUCAGAUUGAACGCUGGCGGCAGGCCUAACACAUGCAAGUCGAGCGGUAGCACAGAGAGCUUGCUCUCGGGUGACGAGCGGCGGACGGGUGAGUAAUGUCUGGGAAACUGCCUGAUGGAGGGGGAUAACUACUGGAAACGGUAGCUAAUACCGCAUAACGUCGCAAGACCAAAGUGGGGGACCUUCGGGCCUCAUGCCAUCAGAUGUGCCCAGAUGGGAUUAGCUAGUAGGUGGGGUAAUGGCUCACCUAGGCGACGAUCCCUAGCUGGUCUGAGAGGAUGACCAGCCACACUGGAACUGAGACACGGUCCAGACUCCUACGGGAGGCAGCAGUGGGGAAUAUUGCACAAUGGGCGCAAGCCUGAUGCAGCCAUGCCGCGUGUAUGAAGAAGGCCUUCGGGUUGUAAAGUACUUUCAGCGAGGAGGAAGGCAUUAAGGUUAAUAACCUUGGUGAUUGACGUUACUCGCAGAAGAAGCACCGGCUAACUCCGUGCCAGCAGCCGCGGUAAUACGGAGGGUGCAAGCGUUAAUCGGAAUUACUGGGCGUAAAGCGCACGCAGGCGGUCUGUCAAGUCGGAUGUGAAAUCCCCGGGCUCAACCUGGGAACUGCAUUCGAAACUGGCAGGCUAGAGUCUUGUAGAGGGGGGUAGAAUUCCAGGUGUAGCGGUGAAAUGCGUAGAGAUCUGGAGGAAUACCGGUGGCGAAGGCGGCCCCCUGGACAAAGACUGACGCUCAGGUGCGAAAGCGUGGGGAGCAAACAGGAUUAGAUACCCUGGUAGUCCACGCCGUAAACGAUGUCGACUUGGAGGUUGUGCCCUUGAGGCGUGGCUUCCGGAGCUAACGCGUUAAGUCGACCGCCUGGGGAGUACGGCCGCAAGGUUAAAACUCAAAUGAAUUGACGGGGGCCCGCACAAGCGGUGGAGCAUGUGGUUUAAUUCGAUGCAACGCGAAGAACCUUACCUACUCUUGACAUCCAGAGAACUUAGCAGAGAUGCUUUGGUGCCUUCGGGAACUCUGAGACAGGUGCUGCAUGGCUGUCGUCAGCUCGUGUUGUGAAAUGUUGGGUUAAGUCCCGCAACGAGCGCAACCCUUAUCCUUUGUUGCCAGCGGUCCGGCCGGGAACUCAAAGGAGACUGCCAGUGAUAAACUGGAGGAAGGUGGGGAUGACGUCAAGUCAUCAUGGCCCUUACGAGUAGGGCUACACACGUGCUACAAUGGCAUAUACAAAGAGAAGCGACCUCGCGAGAGCAAGCGGACCUCAUAAAGUAUGUCGUAGUCCGGAUUGGAGUCUGCAACUCGACUCCAUGAAGUCGGAAUCGCUAGUAAUCGUAGAUCAGAAUGCUACGGUGAAUACGUUCCCGGGCCUUGUACACACCGCCCGUCACACCAUGGGAGUGGGUUGCAAAAGAAGUAGGUAGCUUAACCUUCGGGAGGGCGCUUACCACUUUGUGAUUCAUGACUGGGGUGAAGUCGUAACAAGGUAACCGUAGGGGAACCUGCGGUUGGAUCACCUCCUUA
rnacentral:rRNA from 1 species